GCUUGGGAAAUGUUAAGUAUGUGUCAUUACUGAGAAUAAUGUAAUAAUACACAUUGUGGGAAAGACUGUUGGGAUGUUUCCAUAUUUAUUGUUUUACUUUUAUGUAUGUAGAUUUAACUCCAGCUAACAACAAACUUAAAUGUCACAGCAGAUAAAAACUGUUUUGUUUGUUUCACCAAACUAUAUAGAACAAGCUGCAAGUUCCUGACAUGAGAAAAAAAACUUUAGCAACACGAGCACCAACUUUAAUUAUGAUUUUCUACAGGAGAACAUAGUAAAUUACCAAUACAACUUAAACAUUUAAAAUAUAUUUUGUGCAUAUUGAAAGUGUGUGGUCUUAUUUUACACAUUUUCAAUUCCAGAGAGAUAGUUGUAUUUUUAGCUGCUUUGUAAAAUCACAUUUGCUACACAUUUCUAGGAAAAAAAAAUAUCAAAACCCAUUUGACUGAUUUUCUCUCUGUCCUUUGAGACUGUAGUCCAAUAUAUUACGUAAAUUCCUGAUUUUCCUUGAAUGGCUUAGCCAGUUUCUGAAUGUCCUUAAUAGUCUGAGAUCUAUUUCACAACCCUGACAAGUUCCAGGCUCCCAAAAGUAGAGCUGGGGAAUAAUUAAACCAUGGCACCGUGUGGGGUAUGUUUCCCGAUGCAUAUAUUUUCCAAAAAUAAUUUUUGAACUGUCUGUUUUAUAUUAUCCAUUUAAAAAUUCUUUACCCCAUCAUUAGUGAAGAAAAAAGUCUUGAUAAAUAUUUGAAUUUUUACCAUCUAUAUUUUAUUUUCCUAAUUCUGAUAUUUUAAAGCCUAUUCUAUGCAGCUUAUAAAAUUUUGAUGUAUUCUAUGUAGCUUAUAAAAUAACUCAAUUUUAAACCAAAGUUUUCUUAUCUGAGCUAUUUGGAAAUUCUUUUAAUAUAUAGUAAAUACGAAUUAAACACGUAAAACACAUACAUAUUGAAUUGAAAUGGCCUCCAAACCUAAAAUGAUUAUUAAAAAACCAUCAUAUAUAUUUCUCACUAGAAAAUCUGAUAAUAAAAUGAUAUAUAAUAUAGAUCUGCAACUGAAUAUAUAACAAAAACUAGCAAGGAUAUAAAUACACUCACCUUUUCCUCCUUUCCCUAUCCUCUGGUCAAGUGGUACUUAGAAGAAUUAUUUGGGAAUGAAUACCAAUAUAUUUUCAAGAGAGGUUGUUUCCAAAUUUCUAUCUUAAAAAUUAAAGCGGUGAGCUCAUCUACACUGCACAAGCACAGAAGAUCAGAAACAUACUACAUAGGGAGAGUUGGAAGUAGGCAAUAAUGAAAUGCAUUAUCUGUAGGUAACUUAAAAAUAACAAAACAAAAAAUUGGCCUUUUUCUUGUCACCAUACAUCAGACUUAAACGUUAUCAGUCUAAUAUAUUCCUCCUCUCGGAGGCAGAGAGCUCCUACUACACCCUACACUCCCUUUGGUGUACCACUGAAGGAGACUCCAUUUCAGUCUCCCGGCUUAUUUUAUAAGAUAAACUCACUUCAAUCAAAUUAGUUCAUAAAAAACCCCACCACCUUUAUGUUGUAUCUAUUUUGGUACUUACUGAUUUUCUUUGUGCCCAAAUCAAUGUUUUGUGUAGUUUUAUAUCCAGUUGUCAGGAAAGCAAGGAUAAAUACAGGACUACUAAAAUAACACAGAUUAUGAGAAAGCAAGAUAUUUAAAUAAAGCACCAGGCUGCAACUUUUUCAAGGAGGUUAAUUAAAACUAAAUUAUAAGGCUGAGGCAGGAGGAUCACUUUAACCCAGGAGUUCAAGGUUACAGUGAACUAUGAUUAUGUCACUGCACUCCAGCCUGGGCGACAGAGGGAGACCUUGUCUCUAAACAAACAAACAAACAAACAGAAAGCAAAACUAGAGUAGAGUUUACAAAGUCCUGAAAUUCAGGGUUGCAUUUGGGGAAAUGGAAAGAAGGGGACACAAGUUAGAUGAAAAGGUAAGAAAAAAAUGUCACAUUGUAUUUACCAUUUAAUUAAAAUUGUAAUAAAGGUAUAUAAAUUAAAUGAAAUUAAUUUUUAAAAGGGAAUGGGUUAGUCAAUAUUCCAGUGGGUACUUUCUUAUUCAAUGCUCGAAUACUGAGCUAAAUAUACUUUUAGAAGCAAAGUUAUUAGACUUCAAGAUGUCUUUCUAUUUAGACUGAAGAAAUCAGUGAGUGUGUAAUAAAGUUUACAAAGCUCUUCCCAUAAAAUACAUGAUCUCAUUUGAGCUCUCAACAAUCCUAUGAGGCAGACACUAUAACACAGUGAGAGGUAGUAUAUAUCUGAGGAUAGAAUAUUGGCUCUACCCCAUAGCAAUUGUGUGAGCUUGGGAAUAUUACUUAAAUGCUUUGUAUCUUGGUUUCUUCAUAUGAAAAAUGGGGAUGACAACUAUCCCUACCUCAUAGCUGUUGUGGGAUUAAAUGAGAGAAUGCAUAUAAACACUUUAAUAUAGUGCCUGGUCCAUAGUAAGUGCUCAAUAAAUGCUGGCUAUUAUCAUCAUUAUUCUACAGGUAAAGAAACACUAUCAAAGAUUAAGUUCAAAGUCAUAUGAUUGCUAAGUGGCAAAGCUAGAAGUAGAAAUUCUAGUCUAGAUAUAUUCCCAUUACCCUGUAUUACCUAUGAAUAUCUUUUUUUUUUUUGAGACAGAGUCUUGCUAUGUUGCACAGGCUGGAGUGCAGGGGUGUGAUUUCGGCUAACUGCGGCCUUGACUGCCUGGGCUCAAGCAAUUCUCUCACCUCAGCCUCCCCAGUAGCUGGGAACACAGGUGUGUGCACACCCAGCUAAUUAAAAAAAAAUACAUAUAUUUGUACAGAUGAGGUUCUCACUAUGUUACUCAGGCUGGUCUCAAACUCCUGGGCUCAAGUGAUCCUCCCGCCUGAGUCUCCCAAAGUGCUGGGAUUACAGGCAUGAACCACCGUGCCCAGUCUGAAUGCCUACUUUUAAUUAGAAUAUGUAUUAUCCUUUUGCACUAUUUUUAAAGUAUACUUCUUGCAGCUGAAAAAUGACAUUUGAGUUUGGCAGUUUCAAUGGCAUUAUUAACAUCACUUCUUUUAGUGGGAACAGAAGUUAAUGACAGGCAUUAAAAAGAAAGUGGUCUCUGAAGAAUUAGGAUGGAGACCACAAUAUAGGUUUAAAAGAUUUAGCUUUGACUUUUCUUUAAAUCUUCAGAAAAAUGGAAAUAUAGUUCAUUAGUUGGUAGAUGGCAGAAAGAAUGUAAGCUCUGUGAAGGUAAGGAUAUUUGUUUACUGCUGUAUCUCCAGACUCUACAACAGUGAUUGGUACACAAACAUAUGUUUAAUGAAUAAAUAUUAAAGUGGACAAAAAUCAACUUUAAAACGUCCUUAAUAGUAGGAUUCAUUUUGCUCUGACAUAAUUUCCUUUCUAGUAUUAACUAUUUAUAACUAAAAAGUCUAGCAUAUAGUCAUCUAACCAUAAAGUAGGGGAUUUUUAUUAAAAGAUUAAGAGUAAGAAAUAAAAGACUAAAUAAGGCCUUGAAUAGCUUUAUUGAAAUCUAUAUAAAUAAACAUGCACAUUUCAAAUGUAAACUCAAGUGAAC
rnacentral:lncRNA from 1 species